ACAAAGUUGACAUUCCAUAACAAUUCCUCCAUAUGAUCAGGUACAGAAGCAGUUCCUGGGGACAUCUCCGAUUCCACCACUACCAACACUAGUCAUGCCACCAGUAGAAAUAGCCACUCCCCCUAUUGCCAUUCGAAAAGGUAUUAGAUUAUCUCGUAAUCCUCAUCCAAUUUAUAAUUUUUUGAGUUAUCACCGUUUGUCU
rnacentral:misc_RNA from 1 species